rnacentral:lncRNA from 1 species
CCUGAUCAACCACCUCAGCAUUAAAACUCUUGAGAGCGAUAUGACCUCUUGGGAAGUCAAUAUCAUCGUAUGUUUUGCUCUCAACAGAUCCUGGCCCCAACAUGAACUCAGGUGACAGGAAAGUUUUUGAUUUGAUCUUGUUUCCGUUUUCCAGAAAAGCUUGUGUACAAGAUACGUCAAAAGCCAGUAUUGAAAGUAGUAACCGAAGUACCAUGUUGCCUGUCAGUCAAUUUCAAUGUCUCAGUUUAAAACCACAUAAUCUUGCGAAGGGAAUAGGGUACUGGUUUCUUAACCGCGAUUGAAUAUACAUAUAAAAAUAAUACUUAACCUGUCGAAACCUUUCUAACUUUGUUAUUGAACAAGAUAUUUCGAUUCAAACUUUAGAAACCCUCGUAUGAUUAUUUGUUUAGUUUAGGUUUUAAAUUUAAUCUUGACAUGAUGUUAUUUACCAGGUAGAUUUAUUUUUUUAAAAAUCAAUAUAAUACUAAAUGAUAAAAAUUUAAUAAAAAUCUUAUAAAAGAAAUAUGGAAUUUGAAAAAAACCCCGAAAACAAAUGAGCAAUUUUUUUUUUAAUUAUAUGAUGAAAAAUAAAAAAUAAUUUAUGAUAUAAUUAAAUAAAAAUCCAAAAAAAAAAAACAAAAGAUAACAAAGAGCAAAAAAUUCUAAGAAAAUAAAAAUUUCAUAUUAAAAAAACUUAAAAAAAUAAAAUAAACAAAAAACCCAAAUGACCAGUUAUGGACCUAUUAGAAAAAACUUAUCGCACGUGGCCCAUGCUCUUGGCCCAUAUUUGUUUUUGUUUUUUUUGUCAACCCUUUCUUUUUUUCCUGAAAAAGAUUACCAAUCAGGCUAUCAUAAUCUGCAAGUAUUUUGCUUCCACGGAGAAUCAAACCGUUAACCUCAACAUGACUCCUACUGCAUUUAGUAUUUAUAUGGUCGCCCGCCCCUUCUUCGUCUUCUUCUUCUUCUAUUUUUUUAAUAAAAAAUCCAUAUCUAACAAGUCAUUUGUUGUUUAGGGAACACAAAGAAUUUUGCUUCCAUGGAGAAUCAAACCCACGACCUCACGUGACUCCCACGCGUUAACCUUUAGGAUACCCUUUAAGAUAUAACAUACAGUUGAUAACCAAAAAAGAAAAAAAAAGAUGAACAGUUAAAGAAACUCCACACCUUUUAAUUGUUUUAGUAAUAGUAAAUCCAUGUUGUAAAUACUUCCUUUUUCAUCAGUUUUUGAUAAUCACCAAACAUGUGAUUGAAGAAAGAGUAAUUUAACGAAGAAGGGUCUUGGAUUAUAAUCAAUUAGGAAAAAAAUAAUCAAUCAUAACCCCUCCUUUGUCAUCCUGGAGAUGCUUCUUCAAGAUUUUUAUUCCAGGCAGCAGCAGCCAUGGAUAACAAAAUUAAACAGCAAAAAGUCUCCAGUUUCACUAAUUUCAGGGCCAGGCAACACGAUUCAAACCUAUACAAAUACUGCAUUAAAAUAUAACAAAUCUAAGCAGCUCUAGUUUAUAAAAAUGGAUACGGAACCAGCAGUCAAGAGAGGCGUUCUUCAAGCACAAACAGAGAGGCAAGACACACAAACACAACCACCUUAAGUAAGACUUGCAUCAAUCAUUAGAACUAGAAAAACAGGAACAUACCCGAUGAAUUCAAUGGUCUCUGCCACUUCUCAAGCAGAUGUAUCAUUCUGAUGAUUUUGAACAACUUGGGCUCUCUUCUGCUCAGAAUUCAGAUGAGUUCAUUUGAACAGAGUAAAGAGAGGGAAAGGUUUGGAAGAGUGCUGCGAUGUCAUUGACUCAGUCCAUCCAUUAGUAAUGAGGACUUCAACAUGCAGUAAACCAUGGCAAUGAAAUUCUGUUCAGAGAUGGACCAAUUGGAUUCAGGCUACUGCCUAAGCCAUGACGUCUAGUGCCACCGCCACAUGCUUUCUUUCUUUAGACUAUUUUCAUUUGUCUGCUCUUUUGACUGCGUCAUCUCGAUAAAGAGUUUAUAGAGAAAUGACUUUGAUAGAGUCGUUGACUUGGGGUUUCGUGUCUCUUUUAUUUUGAAAAUUUAUGAGUAAAAUCUCUCCUUUGAUAGAGUCAAAUAUUUGUGUUUAACUAAUACACAAGUGAACUUGUCAAUGAAUUUAAUUGAACUAGACAAGAUGAUAUUACAGGUGAUUAUUUUUUAUUCCAUCUGAUUUUUCUAAAAAAAAAAUAACCAAACCGAUUUUUUUUUUAAAAUCAAAAUCGAUUCAAACCAAUUGAUUUCUAUUCUAUUAGUUUUUUUAGAACAAAAACCUGUUCUGUUUUAGUUCGAUUUGACUUGGUUUUUUUUUUUUUGGUUUGGGUUUGAUUCGGUUUUUUCGGUUUCAGGCUUAUAAAAUAAUAAAAAAAAACUGAAAACGAAUCGAAUUGGUCAGUUUUUUUAAAAUUUUAAUUGGUUUAAUCGGUUUUUUUCACUGUUUGGUGGUUUGUAAUUUUUUUUUUCUAGUUUUCUCGAUUUAAUUAUUUUUUUAAUUUUUUUGCUCACCCUUAUAUAAUAUCAGCUUAAGGUAUUUCAAAAUCUUAUAUCCCGAGUUUUAAAUUUAAUCUUGACAAGAUCUUAUUUAUUGGGUAAAUUAAAAAAAAAAUCGACACAAUAAUGAUAAAAUUCAAUAAAUUUUUUACAUUAAAAGAUGAAAUUAGAUAAAAAUAAAAAAUCACAAAAUAAUAAAAAAUGUAAAGAAAUAAAAAUUCUGAUAUUAAAGGAUGAAUUAAAAAAACAAAAGAAAGGGCAUUUUUUUUUAUUAUAUGAUGAAAAAUAAACAAAUAAUUUAUUAUCAACCGAACACUAAAUGAUAUAAUUAAAUAAAAAGCAUAUAUUAAAAAAUAAAUAAAUAAAAAAGAGCCAAAAAAAUCCUAAGAAAAUAAAAUUUUCAUAUUUAAAAAUAAAAAAACUUAAAAGAUAAAAAAAAUCAAAAACUCAAAUGACUAGUUAUGGACCUAUUAGAAAAAACCUACGCACAUGGCCAUGCUCUUGGGUUCAUUUUUUUUGUCAACCCUUUUUUUUUCUUGAAAAAAAUUACUUAUCAUCAAAGUUGUCAAAAACGCUUUUUUAACAUAACACGAAACAUAUAAUAUAAACUCAAAUUGUAAAAUUAUAAAAUCAUAAAUAAAAUAUUUUAAUUAAUUAUAUAUUGACAAUUCUAGUUAAGUAGUAAUUAACAAUAUAACAUAAUUAAAAUAAAAAUAAAAUAAACAAUAAAAAAGUCUAAAAACCUUAAAAUACAUGGUUCAAAUAAAAAAUUAUAUAUAAUUUAAAUAACUUAAAAAUACAAUACCAUAAAAUUAUUCCUAUAAACUUGAGUUUUUUUAAGGAGAAAGGGAUAGAUUGACCAAAGUUGUUAAUGGGUAGGGAGGGGUUUUGUUAGCAUUGAAUGUGGGCUCACAAGAUUAUUUAAACCAGAGAAACAAGCAAUCAGUCUUAUAGAUACACUACAUGUUAAAAUAUCCUUAGUUUUAGCAUUCCAAGCCUAAAUCAUUGGGGGUAAACUCUGUGCCUCCAGAAAUGGCUGUGAUUUCAAAAUCACGUAACAUGGGUAGCAAAGACUGAAACAUAGAAUAAUUUAGAAACUGAAGAUGGAGUUGAAUUAGUGGCGGAGAUUAUUCGGAAAAGGAAGAGGGGCGAUUGGUGGAAAUAUAAAUAGAAUACGCAGGGGGCUCACAAUAGUUUGUUAAAAACUAACCUGAUUGAUGCCAAAACAGAGAUGAUUGAUGAGAGACUGCAGAAGAAGAAGAAGAGAGGCAGACAGCAGACCGAAGAGGCGCAGAUGAAGUAAUUUUAUAUUUUAUUUAAACUUGGUAAAUCGGCUGAGUUUACCGAGUUUAAGCGAGUUUGAUUGAUUUUACUGGUUUUCCGAGUUUUUAAUCUGAUUUUAUAUAUUAUAUACAUGUUCGACCAUUUUUUUGCUUCCAUGGAGAAUCAAACCCUUAACCUCAACACGACUCCUGCGCAGUAACUAUCGAGCUACAACUUAAAGUUUUUAACCAAACAAAAAAAACAUCAACCUGAUUUACUAUUUAUAUGGUCGCUCCCCCCUUCUUUUUCAUGAAAAUGGAUACGGAACCAGCAGUCAAGAGAGGCUUACACAGAGAGGCAAGACACACAAUUACAAACACAACCACCUUAAGUAAGACUUCCAUCAAUCAUUAGAACUUGAAAAACAGGAGCAUAUACCCGAUGAACUCAAUGGUUUCUGCGACUUCUCAAGCAGAAGUAUCAUUUUGAUGAUUCUGAACAACUUGGUCUCUCUUCUGUUCAGAAUUCAGGUGAGUUCAUUUGAACAGAGUAAAGAGAGGGAAGGGUAUGGAAAAGUGCUGUGAUGUCAUUGACUCAGGCCAUCCAAUAGUAACGAGGAAGUCAAGACCAGUAAACCAUAGCAAUGAAAUACUGUUCAGAGUUGGGCCAAUUGGAUUCAGGCUGCUGUGAUAUAUAGAACUAAUUUAACGAAGAAGAAAUGUAACAGAGAAGAAGCCUAUGAUUGGAGUACUUAAUUCUAAGCAUCCUUCAACUAAAAAUAACCUUGGCAUUUAUAGCCAUACAGUUCAUAAUAGAAUUAACAAACAAAUAGGAAAAAGUUACACCACUAUUCCACUUCUAGCCAUUAACUAACUAAUCCACGUUGCUGCCCACCCUGCAGUAGUGCAGCCACUACAAGUUCCUGCAGCUUGAUCUGUGGCAUGAUCCCACGUUCUUGUGCAUAUCAUACUGCCUAAGCCAUGGCGUCCAAUGCUGCAUGCUUUCUUUCUGUAGAAUAUUUUUAUUUGUUUGCUCUUUUGACUGAGUCAUCUCGAUUAAGAUUUCUUGAGUUUAUAGAGAAAUGACUUUGAUAGAGUAGUUGACUUUGGGUUUCAUGUCUCUUUUAUUUUGAAGAUUUAUGAGUAAAAUCUCUCCUUUGAUAGAGUAAAAUAUUUGUGUUUAUCAAGUACCAUUGCUCUUAGUUACAGCAAUUUCAUAAUAAAUUUUGUUUAUCUUGAUAGGAUUUUUGGAUUUCAAUCCAAAACUCAUGCACAUCCUAACCUACAUAUAACAAGGACAAACAUAAAUCCAGCUUGGUUCAUGUCCACAUAUGAUAACAGCGUAGGAUCUACAGAUGCAGUACACAACCCAUGGAAACACAGCACAAUUUACAACUUUAUUUAGGAACUAGUUUGUAGCCACGUCCUCUCCUUUUCUUCAGCCAGGAAUGCACAGAAACAGCAGCAGUCACAGCCAGUCCAAUGAAAACCACCAUUGACCAAGCACAAGUUUUUACUUUAAUGGUAUGAUGAUAACAGCGCUGGCUGCAGAGAUGCAGCACACAACUCAUGGAAACAUAACACAAUUUACAGCCUUAUUUAGGAACUGGUUUGUAGCCACCUUCUCUCCUUUUCUUCGGCCAGAAAUGCACAGCAACAGCAAUAGUCACAGCCAGUCCAAUGAAAACCACAAUUGACCAGGCGUUAGUUGUUACUUUAAUGCUUUCAUGCAUCUGCAGGAUUCAAGAAAAAAAUUAGAGGUUACAUGUUUGUUAACAUUAUAAGCAUUUUUUUCUCUCGAGAAUUCCUGCCCCAAAUCGGAUAAUCCUGUCUUAGUUACCCGACUCCUUUUAUACUGAAAAAGAAAUCACUAGCUGAAGAUUGAACAAAAACUUACCUGAACAGGAGCUUGUGAGAAAGCCACAUUUGGUGCUUGUUCUGCUAUGUAAAUGUAGAAAAACCCCAUGACUCCUGUGUGCUUAUUAGUGCUGUUGUAGUUAGAUUCCAGAGUUAGAUUCUCGCCAGCUGCUAUCUUGACAGAACCUGGUUCAGGAUAACAGGUGGACAUUCCUACAAUAUAACCAUCCUCGUUUCCUGCUUCAUUUCCAUUUCCAUAAAUUGGUAUUGAAGCGCAAAUUACGUUCCCAUCCUGAAUUCAUCAUAUAAAAAGAUCAUUUGAGCCGGAUGUUAUUCGACUUGAUCAGCGAUGACACGAAGUGGGUAGUAGAUAUUGCUGUAAUAAUCAGAAAACAUUCCAAGCUAGCCUCUGGAACAGUGAAAUCAGACAUAAAAGACAAAUUGAAGAAGGUUCCCUUAUGCUGCUAUGAGAAAGGAGGAUUGUGCUUAUGAAAGUUGCGGUGACAAACUUCGGGAGAGAACGUCGUUAAAAGAUAAUAAGAUGAUAGUUUACUUCAAUUGCAUUAAUUUCUAAAGAACUUUCAAUGGCCUACCAGAUAUGAAAGAGGGUAAAAAAGAUGCAGAAAAAACGAGAACAUGUUAUCAUAAAUAGGUUGAGAAUCACCUGUCCAUACAGAGUUGAACCGAUCCCACCAGCAUGCUGGUGGGCAACAGCAUAGAUGACAUAACCACCAGUUGGCAUGGUGAGGCUGUUUCUUUUGAUGUCAAUGCACCCAUUACCAGCUGCAUCGGUAGAGGUGCAAGACUCAACUUCAUACUCAACCUGCACCAAAAAUAUUCUAGUGAUUCGCAGUGCAGUGAAAUAUAAAUGACAUCCUUGGAAAAGAGAAGCCUUAAUUGUUUCCUCAUUAACUUGAUUCCAGAACUUGUGACUGAUCCUGCAGGUCCCCUUCACUGUUUAAGCUGUUGCUGCAGUCUAAUAAUAGAUGUGUCUACCACAACGAUUUAUCAUCAAGCAUAAACUACCAGGUAUUUCUUAUGAAUUUUCUACAUCGCAAUUUGUUCGAUGGAAACGAAUUCAAUAGAACCUACCUAUUGAGUUGUGUGAUCGGUAGAAAAUUCUAUCAGUGCAGCAAGUAUUUGAGGAGAUAUUUCGACUCAUCAACAAGUCUAUUUUGUUUUCUCCUGCAUUUUGAAAGAAGAGAAAAGUGCCAUCCACGACAUUUCCCCCCUUACAGUGCAAACAUGUUGGUGCUUAAUAAUAAGUGACAAGAAAGAAUGCAUUUACCUGGCAACCAUUCUCUGGACUGAUUCCUGUUGAUCCAAGGAGCCUUUUUCCAGUAUCAGUAGCAUCUAGCACAAAGAUUUCAACAGGAAUGGUGGAACUAUCCCACUCAAUCCACUUCACCGUAUAUCGCAGGUAGAGGCUCCUCUUGCCCCCCUGAAAACCCUGUCUGACUUUGCACUGUGUCUGACCAUAGCAACAAAACAAACCUCCCUUAUAGUCUGGCCUAAUGGGGUUUCCAUAUUCAUCGUUCGUGACGUUAUAUAGAUCACACCAGCAUUCAAUGCACCCCAGCCUAUCUUCCGCACCCCGUGUUUCAAUUGCAUGGACACCAAGAUACCACUUCUCCUGAUACCCUUCAGGAAUUUCGGCAGGAUUGCCAAUUUGUAUUCCAAAAGGAUCUGGAAUAUGUGUAGCUGUUUUUCGUGUUUCAGAUCCAAGGCCAAAAUACUGUCCAAGAAUUUGAUCCUGGCAUAAUCCACUGUUUCGUGAAAACUUACGGUCUGAUGUGCGAUUCUCAUAGUACUUUCCCACAAGCCAGUGGUGAAUGUAAGUGUCAUAAAGAGGUACAGGAUUCCCAGCCUGAUCAACUACCUCAGCAUUAAAACUCUUGAGAGCGAUAUGGCCUCUUGGGAAGUCAAUAUCAUCGAAUGUUUUGCUCUCAACAGAUCCUGGUCCUAACAUGAACUCAGGUGACAGGAAAGUUUUUGAUUUGAUCUUGUUUCCGUUUUCCAGAAAAGCUUGUGUACAAGAUACGUCAAAAGCCAGUAUUGAAAGUAGUAACAGAAGUACCAUGUUGCC